rnacentral:lncRNA from 10 species
CCCGUCUCUACUAAAAAUACAAAAAAUUAGCCGGGCGUGGUGGCCUGCGUCUGUGGUCCCAGCUACUUGGGAGGCUGAGGCAGCAGAAAGGCGUGAACCCAGGAGGCGGAGCUUGCAGUGAGCAGAGAUCACGCCAUUGCACUCCAACCCAGGAGGCGGAGCUUGCAGUGAGUGGAGAUCACGCCAUUGCACUCCAGCCUAGGAGCUCGCAAGUUUCACUCUCAGAGGAGGAUUUUGUUCUUCAAUUGUGGAGUGAUCUCUAUCACCAGUGACUAAAGAUGUUGGAGCACAGAGAGCCAUACCCCAAAAUAUGAUGCUUCGGCAUGCUGACUGCUUUGAAAAUUGAAAGGCCUCAGAAAUAAUCCUCAGUGCCAGGGUCUCCCUCUGACCUCCCCCUACCUCCCUUUCUCUCUGAUCCUGUCUCUCCCAAAGCACAGAAUGAAGCUGUUCUCUGAAUUCCCUUAUCUACCUAGAAACUGGACCCCCAAAGAGGAACACAAUUUGCCUUUGAUCCCUUCCCUGAAAUUUCAUUAACCAGAGAAAAUUAAAACUUCUAUCACAAAGGAAGAGACUGAACAUUAAACACCAUAGCUACAGCCCAGACAAACUUCUUCCCAAACCAUUGUUUGUUCUCCUGCCUGUUAAAUUGCCAGAGAAUCAUUCACAAGAUAAAGUCUGCCUUCUGGGUCCAUUCAUUCCCCACUAAAAAUCUUUUACUCCUACACCCUCAUGUCUCCUUCCUCCAUGAAGAAGGGUCUAUAAACCUCUAGGCCUCAUUGGGUUAUUGGGUAAUCAUUCUCAUGCAGUUCCCCUGUGCUCUGCAUGUUAAAUAAAUUUGUAUGCCUUUUUCUCCUACCUGCCUUUUGUCAUUUUCAGUGAACCUUCAGAAGGUAAAGGCAGAAGCUUUCCUUCUUUGCCCCUAUAGUGUCAACAACAGCCAGCCAGGCAAAGGGUUUCAGAAACCCAAGUGGGAUUAAGAUGAUUAGCCACAUGGCUCUAUUCUACAAACUAGUGGUCAGAAUAACAAGCGUUUGCUUAUUAGGAGGUCGAGGUGGGAGAA